CCCUGAUGCACAAGGUACCUUAAAUUGUACUUUUUCAAUUUUAAAAUUUUAAAAUUUUCAUUUUUCCUUUUCAGUUUAAAAAAAAUAAUUUUUCUUUAUAUAAUACAAAAACUUUAUAUAUAAUUUUAUAUCCUCACCUUAAAUUAUUUUAUUUUUAAAAA
rnacentral:rRNA from 1 species